rnacentral:lncRNA from 1 species
GAAAUCGUAGAGGACUGUUUUCUUGAGGUCGGCCUCUGAAGCGUAGCACCUACGAGCGAUGGUCUUUUUGUCGGAUUGAGCAAGCCGACGAGUGAUUGAUUGCCCGAGUUGCCAUAGUCCUCCCCUCAUUGUCGUUUAUGCUUCCGAAACAAAGAAGCAUGUUAUCAGUAUAGGUAAGAAAAACCAAGUCUCAUGAAUUCAAGAUCACAUUUUGAUCUAAUAAAGUUGCAGCUUAACUGUUUGACAAAAAGCCUGAAAGAAAUGUGACAAGAAAACCCAUCCAUCCAUCCAAUUCCCAAUCAAGAAAGAUCCAAUUUUUAUAAUCUCAUUAACAAAUUUGUAAAAAGAUUCAAUCAAAGAAGCAGAUCUUUGACACAACCCACAAAGAAUUAACAUGAAACACAAAAGAAGAAAGAAAUGGAUUGAAAUUGAACUUACGAGUGGACUCAGGAGAGCUGCACCGUUUUUCUCUGUUGAGAAAAGCAAAUCUAGAUGGGGUUUUUGUUAGUGUUUUGCAAUUACUUUGUAAUUUU